AAACAAAACCAUUAGAGUUAUUUAAUUAGAAACUAAUCGCUUAUAUCUAUUAAAACAUUUUUAAAUUAAGUAAAGGUGAUUAAAACUUAUUAACGAUACAUCAAUACAAGUACUGAGAAGGAAGAUUUUAAAUUAAAUAAUAGAAAAACUUAAAGUUUGUACCUUUUGCAUCAUGGUUUAGCUAGAUUUAGAUUCUAAUUAUAAUUUCUCGAAAUCUAAUGAGCUAUUCUUGGCUCUUAUUUUAGUAUUAUACAAAUUAGCUGUGGCAAAAGCUUUUUGAUAGCCAAGAAUAGAAAUGAAAUUUUAUGCGAAUUAGAUGAUAGCUAGUUCUUUUUUAGAAACAUAUAAGUGUUGCUAAUUAAAUUUUCAAGAAAAGCACUUCUAUAUAAAAUUUAAUUAUGACAAAUUACUGAGGAUAAGCUCAGUAAUUAAUUUACUUAUAAAAUACGUAAUUUUCUGUUAGAUUUAAGCUUGAAAAUAGCUAUAAUAUGAAGAUUUUGUUAUAAUUUUAUAUAACUCCUAGAAAUAGAAUUUAUUUAUUUUGAUAUCAAGAAAGAAAAUUCAUAAACUUAAAUGAAUUAUAUCAAUGCUAAGAUGAGUAUUAAAAUCUAUUUGACUAAAACUAUUAAGUAAAUAUAGCAAACUAGACUUAGAGUUUAAAAAUUAAAUUGUAAGAAGGAACUUGGCAAAUAAAUCAUUCUGCCUGUUUAUCAAAAACAUGGCUCCUCGACCUUAAAAUAUGAGGAGUCGGACCUGCCCAGUGAAAAAUUUAAACGGCCGCGGUACUCUGACCGUGCAAAGGUAGCAUAAUCAUUUGCCCUAUAAUUGAGGGCUAGUAUGAAUGGUUUGACAAGAAUGAAACUGUCUCCAUACAAUUAUAUAGAACUUUAUUAUUAGGUGAAGAAGCCUAAAUAAAAUUAAAAGACAAGAAGACCCUAUCGAGCUUAAAAUAAAUUAAUGAAUUAAUAUGAAUAGUAAUUAAAACAACAUUCAUUAUAAAUUUUAGUUGGGGCGACGGAGGAACAUUAAAAGCUUCUUUUAAGAUUUUAAUUACUAAACGAGUAUAGAUCCAGAAAAUUCUGAUUAGAGGAAUUAGUUACCGUAGGGAUAACAGCAUUAUCUUUUUUGAGAGCCCAUAUCGAAAAAAAGGUUUGUGACCUCGAUGUUGGACCAGAAUAUCCUAAAGAUGCAGAAGUCUUUAAGGGUUGGUCUGUUCGACCAUUAAAAUUCUACGUGAUCUGAGUUCAGACCGGCGUGAGCCAGGUCAGUUUCUAUCUUUUAUUACUAAAAUAAAUUUAGUACGAAAGGACCAAUUUAUUACAUUAAAGAUGUAACUUAUUGAUAGAAUAUAAUAUAAAAGUAAAUUAGAUUAUUAGAUUUAUUUGU
rnacentral:rRNA from 1 species